rnacentral:rRNA from 1 species
GAUGAACGCUGGCGGCGUGCCUAAUACAUGCAAGUCGAGCGAACAGACGAGAAGCUUGCUUCUCUGACGUUAGCGUCGGACGUGUGAGUAACACAUGGAUACCCUACCUAUAUGCCUGGGAUAACUUCGGGAAACCGGAGCUCAUACCGGAAUAUAUCUUAAUCUGCAUGGUUCCAUGGUAAUAGACGGUUUUGUUGAAUUUUAUCGAUAGCUCAUGGCCGCAUUAGCUAGUGGGUAGGGUAACGGCUUACCAAGGCAACGGUCCGUCGCCGACCUGAGAGGGUGAUCGCCCACACUGGAACUGGGACACGGUCCAGACUCCUACGGGAGGCAGCAGUAGGGAAUCUUCCGCAAGGGGCGAAAGCCUGACGGAGCAACGCGGGGUGGGGGAUGAGGGUCUUGGAAUGGUAAAACUCGGUGAUAAGGGAAGAAGAAAGUGGGAAGUAACAGUGCACGUCUUGACGGUACCUAAUCAGAAAGCCACGGCUAACUACGUG